UUCCAAAGCCUGCCCUAGCAUCUGCAUCACC
rnacentral:piRNA from 1 species